UGACACCUGUGGGAUUCGAACCCACGCCUAUUACUAGACCGCGAAGCGAGAUUUGCUCGGAUGGGUAUCCGAGAGGACCUGAACACGGCGCCUUAGACCACUCGGCCAAAGUGCC